CGCGGGGGUUGCCACGCUUCCCGGUCAUGUUGUCUUGCGGCCCUAGGGCCCGAAGCCCUAGGUAGAGGAAGCCGAGACCAAAAACAAUGGAGAAUUCAACCUCAAUUUAUAGUAUGAGUUGAAUAUGGUGAAGAGUGAUUAUGUCCUGUGACAUCACCGAGGGGUCUGGCUCUGUGAGGCAGAGUCCACGUCUGUCUUCCUCAUCUUGAACCCCAGGUCUACUCAGUGCCCAGCACAUCCACUCAGUCUAAAAUUAAUCAGAUUAUCUUUUUAAACACAGCACUUUCAUUGGAACAUAAUUUCACACAAUAAAAGCACCCUUUUAAAGUG